UCCCUGGUGGCUCACAUGGUAAAGCGUCUGCCUGCAAUGCGGGAGACCCGGGUUCGAUCCCUGGGUUGGGAA
rnacentral:tRNA from 1 species